rnacentral:rRNA from 11 species
ACCUUCGGCCUAAAUACCUUAAAGGCAUCAGAUCCCAUCUGAUCUUGGAAGCUAAACAGGCUCCACCUUGGUUAGUACUUUGAAGGGAGACUGCCAGUGAACACCUCUGAUAUUCACGGGG